rnacentral:rRNA from 1 species
UCUGANCAGCCAUCUCGCGUGAAGGAAUACGGCCCUACGGGUCUUAAACUUCUUUUAUAGGGGGAAAAAGUCGCAUACGUGUAUGUGAUUGCAGGUACCCUAUGAAUAAGCAUCGGCUAACUCCGUG